UACGAAGGGAGCUAGCGUUGUUCGGAAUCACUGGGCGUAAAGCGCACGUAGGCGGAUUUGUCAGUCAGGGGUGAAAUCCCGGGGCUCAACCUCGGAACUGCCUUUGAUACAGCAAGUCUUGAGUUCGAGAGAGGUGGGUGGAAUUCCUAGUGUAGAGGUGAAAUUCGUAGAUAUUAGGAAGAACACCAGUGGCGAAGGCGGCUCACUGGCCCGGUACUGACGCUGAGGCGCGAAAGCGUGGGGAGCAAACAGG
rnacentral:rRNA from 1 species